UACGAAGGGGCUAGCGUUGCUCGGAAUUACUGGGCGUAAAGCGCACGUAGGCGGUUUCUUAAGUCGGGGUGAAAUCCUGGAGCUCAACUCCAGAACUGCCUUCGAUACUGGAGAGCUCGAGUCCGGAGAGGUGAGUGGAACUGGCGAGUGUAGAGGUGAAAUUCGUAGAUAGUUCGCAAGAACACCAGUGGCGAAGGCGGACUCGACUGGCCCGGUA
rnacentral:rRNA from 1 species